CAGGUGUCCAGGUGACCAGGUGACCCGCCUCUCGCCCAGAACGCAGCUGGAGAGGCAGCAGCUCCUCCCGACCCCGUUAUGGAGGAGCUUCUGCUUAGCAGCAGCUGAAGUCCAUUAAUCUGAAGUCUGGUCAGCUGACCGAAGGCCUUCAGACCAAACAGCUUCUACCAAACUGAAAGGAAGAAACUCAUCAAGAGCAACUUUUCUCUGGGUUUCCUCCGACCUGGUUCUGCGGCGGU